CCCCGAGGCAGUGCAGGCAGAGGCAGUGAACAGGUUCAAGUCAAGUUGAGAUCACUUGAUGGAUGGGAGCAAGAGGGGGCAUUAAGAUGAGGAAUGACCCCUCCUGUUUACCCCGCACUUCACAGUUCACCAGUACUUGCCCACCAGUUACCCCAGUAGACACUCACAAUCGCUCCCAAGGGCAGGCGAUGGGGUGGAGGAUGUCAAAGAUCACGUCACCUCCGCUUACCAGAUGGAAGAACUGCAGCCCAGAGAGGGAGCGAACCGUGCCCACAGUCACCGCUGGGGCUCAGAGAGACCAAGCCAGCCAACAGCAGGACUUCCUUUAAUAACAGCAGAGCUCAUCUCCAUUCGCCAGCGGGGCCAGGACACCAUGAAAUAAGAAAGACAAGUAAGGCAUUGGCAAGGCAAGUGUUCACACAAUGCAUGCAUCCCUGGCACUCACCCCAAUCCUAGCCCUGUUUACCAAGCUGUGUGCUAAACAUCUGUGUUAGGGUGAGAGAUAAAUGUCCUCCCAGAGUAGUAGUAUAGUAGUAUGUAUUCAGAGGAGCGGCAUUUGGAAGGUCACUGGAGUAGGAUGCUCUAUAGCCAACUUGCUGUUAGAAGCUGGGGCCUGGUUGGAGGUGGGUCACUGGGGGCAUGGCCUGGAAGAGCAUAGUGUUCUUGUGCCCACCUGUGUCCUCUCUCUCUCUCUCUCUCUCUCUCUCUCUCUCUCCUCUGUCCCUCUUUCCCUCCCUGUUUCUCACCUUCUCCCCACACCUCCCUAUCUCAUAGGCCCCAAAGGUCAUCAUACCCUCCAUCUUUCACCCUAUUUCUUAGGAAUGCCUUAAUAGAGGACCAGGGUGCUUUCUCCACAUGGCAGGAGGAUACAGAAUACUGGUCCAAUCAGGCUUCAUUGUCAUUGUCUGCUAAAGGGGAAUAUUAAAGACAUUUAGAAAUCUUUGAAGACAUUCCUAGUUUUUUCUUUCUGGAUAAUUCCAUUUUACAUACCAAAAGAGAAAUAUUACCUUGUUCUUGCUUUUUGACAGUCCUUCUGUUACAAAUCCUGGUCUGUCUCCAGGAUGAUGGAUGUCUCAAGCUGCCUAGAACAAAAGUCAAGAAAGGAAGGAAAUGAAUAGAAAAAACCACUAAUAAUUUCAAAACAUUACCUCCAUUAAGCCAUUAUGAUUAGUUGGAAUUAUAAUCAUCUUUUCUUUCUUCCUCUAAUUUGGCU
rnacentral:lncRNA from 1 species